GAUGAACGCUAGCUACAGGCUUAACACAUGCAAGUCGAGGGGUAACGAGAGGAAAGCUUGCUUUCCUUGUCGACGACCGGCGCACGGGUGAGUAACGCGUAUCCAACCUGCCCCCAACUAGGGAAUAACCUUGCGAAAGUAAGACUAAUACCCUAUAAUUUCCUCAGAUGUCAUCUGACGAGGAAUAAAGAUUUAUCGGUUGUGGAUGGGGAUGCGUCUGAUUAGCUUGUUGGCGGGGUAACGGCCCACCAAGGCAACGAUCAGUAGGGGUUCUAGGAGGAAGGUCCACCACAUUGGAACUAAGACACGGUCCAAACUCCUACUGGAGGCAGCAGUGAGGAAUAUUGGUCAAUGGGCGGAAGCCUGAACCAGCCAAGUAGCGUGCAGGAUGACGGCCCUAUGGGUUGUAAACUGCUUUUAUACAGGAAUAAAGUUAGCCACGUGUGGCUAUUUGUAGGUACUGUAUGAAUAAGGACCGGCUAAUUCCGUGCCAGCCGCCGCGGUAA
rnacentral:rRNA from 1 species